rnacentral:rRNA from 1 species
GACGAACGCUGGCGGCGUGCUUAACACAUGCAAGUCGAACGGAGUGGCGAACGGGUUAGUAACACGUGGGUGACCUGCCCUGCACUUCGGGAUAAGCCUGGGAAAAUGGGUCUAAUACCGGAUAGUGGGGGAUGGGCCCGCGGCCUAUCAGCUUGUGUGUGGGGUACUGGCCUACCAAGGCGGCGACGGGUAGCCGGCCUGGGGGGGUGGACGGCCACAUUGGGACUGCGACACGGCCCAGACUCCGACGGGAGGCAGCAGUGGGGAAGAUUGCACAAUGGGCGGAAGCCUGAUGCAGCGACGCCGCGUGGGGGCUGACGGCCUUCGGGUUGUAAACUCCUUUCACCAUCGACGCGGUAGAUGGAGAAGAAGCACCGGCUAACUCCGUGCCAGCCGCCGCGGUAAUAC